UCUUUCUGUGAAUGUGGUUUUUUUUCCCACAGGCUGCAGGAUUGUAGUUCUUCUUGCUUCUUCUCUCUGCCUUCUGGUGGAUGAGCCUAUCUAAGAGGCUUUUGCAAGCUUCCUGACGGGGGGGACUGGUGGUGGGUAGAGCUGACUGUUGCUCUGGUGGGCAGAGCUCAGUAAAACUUUAAUCCACUUGUCUGCUGAUGGGUGGGGCUGGGUUCCCUCCCUGUUGGUUGUUUGGGCUGAGGUAACCCAACACUGGAGCCUACCUGGGCUCUUUGUUGGGGCUAAUGGCGGACUUUGGGAGGGCUCACACCAAGGAGUACUCCCCAGAACUUCUGCUGCCAGUGUCCUUGUCCUAAUGGUGAGACACAGCCACCCCCCCCCUCUGCAGGAGACCCUCCAACACUAGCAGGCACAAGAAGCCAGUCAAUUACUCCCAGUUUGAGGACUCUGAUAGUGAUGAUGAUUUUGUUCCUGCAACCGCACCGUUAAAUAAAAACUCCAGAACUACACAAAAGGAGUUAAAACUAGAAAAACCGGAACCUAAACUGAAGAAUCUCCAGGAAAAAGACAUCCCACUACAAGAGAAAACCCCUAAAAAAAAGGUGAGAGAAUGCCUUUAGACGAUAAGCUCUACCAGAGAGACCUAGAAGUCGCACUGGCUUUAUCAGUGAAGGAACUUCCAACCGUCACCAUUGAUGUGGAGGAGUCUCAAGAUAAAAGUAACUUUAUUUUCGCUAAUUCUCUUUAAAAUCUUCUUAUUGCGUUUGUAAUCAUUUCGUUGGAUGAGCCUUUACAGAGGGAAAAAUGUAGUUUUAAAACCUUGGACUAAAAAGGGAGCAAUUUGCAGGUGGUGCCGUUGGAUUCAGUUGUUUAUUCAGUUGCAUAAAUCUCAUCCACACAUAAAUACCUUUCUGCCUAUAACACUCAGAUGCAGCUGGAGGACGCGGACUAUGACGCUGCGUGUCCAAAGUUCACCUGUAUAUGCGGUGAAGAUUUAACUUCAUCAUCAAAUAAGUGGACCUGUACAUCCGAGCAAUCCAC